rnacentral:rRNA from 1 species
GACGAACGCUGGCGGCGUGCUUAACACAUGCAAGUCGAACGGUGAAGGGAUCAGCUUGCUGGUUCUGGCUGAGUGGCGAACGGGUGAGUAACACGUGAGUAACCUGCCCCCUUCUUCUGGAUAACCGCAUGAAAGUGUGGCUAAUACGGGAUAUUCUGCGCCUGCUGCAUGGUGGGUGUGGGAAAGAUAUUGUUUCGGUGGGGGAUGGGCUCGCGGCCUAUCAGCUUGUUGGUGGGGUGAUGGCCUACCAAGGCGGUGACGGGUAGACGGCCUGAGAGGGUGGAAGGUCACAAGGGGACUGGGACACGGCCCAGGAUACUACGGGAGGGAGCAGUGGGGAAUAGUGGGCAACGGGGGGGAGCCUUAUGCAGCGAAGCCGGGUGAGGGAUGGAGGCCUUCGGGUUGUGAACCUCUUUCGCCAGUGAAGCAGGCCUGUCCCUUGUGGGGGGGUUGACGGUAGCUGGAGAAGAAGCGCCGGCUAACUACGUG